GUGGGGAAUCUUAGACAAUGGGGGAAACCCUGAUCUAGCCAUGCCGCGUGAGCGAUGAAGGCCUUAGGGUUGUAAAGCUCUUUCAGAUGGGAAGAUAAUGACGGUACCAUCAGAAGAAGCCCCGGCUAACUCCGUGCCAGCAGUCGCGGUAAUACGGAGGGGGCUAGCGUUGUUCGGAAUUACUGGGCGUAAAGCGCACGUAGGCGGACCAGAAAGUCAGAGGUGAAAUCCCAGGGCUCAACCUUGGAACUGCCUUUGAAACUCCUGGUCUUGAGGUCGAGAGAGGUGAGUGGAAUUCCGAGUGUAGAGGUGAAAUUCGUAGAUAUUCGGAGGAACACCAGUGGCGAAGGCGGCUCACUGGCUCGAUACUGACGCUGAGGUGCGAAAGCGUGGGGAGCAAACAGGAUUAGAAACCCGGGUAGUCC
rnacentral:rRNA from 1 species